GUAGGGAAUCUUCCGCAAUGGACGAAAGUCUGACGGAGCAACGCCGCGUGAGUGAUGAAGGUCUUCGGAUUGUAAAGCUCUGUUAAUCGGGACGAAAGAGCCUAGUGUGAAUAAUGCUAGGAAGUGACGGUACCGGAAUAGAAAGCCACGGCUAACUACGUGCCAGCAGCCGCGGUAAUACGUAGGUGGCAAGCGUUGUCCGGAAUUAUUGGGCGUAAAGCGCGCGCAGGCGGAUCUGCCAGUCUGUCUUAAAAGUUCGGGGCUUAACCCCGUGAUGGGAUGGAAACUACAGAUCUAGAGUAUCGGAGAGGAAAGUGGAAUUCCUAGUGUAGCGGUGAAAUGCGUAGAUAUUAGGAAGAACACCAGUGGCGAAGGCGACUUUCUGGACGAAAACUGACGCUGAGGCGCGAAAGCCAGGGGAGCGAACGGGAUUAGAAACCCCUGUAGUCC
rnacentral:rRNA from 1 species